rnacentral:tRNA from 1 species
AAGUAUUUAAUCUAAUCAAGAUUAUUGAUUUCGACUCAAUACAUUAUGGUACAAACCCAUAAAUACUUU